GCUGUUUCUCUGUGAUGCAACAAUGCAGUCAGAAUUUCCUAUAGCUGUUGCCAUCUGCUGCGCAGGAAGCAGGAGGAGAGUAGCUGUUCUAAUGAGAACCUUCCCAACUUGACCUUGCAAAGAUGAAUGAGAUGAUGCACAGACUUGAGACAAUGCUCUGACCUAUGAAAAGGCGACUGAACUCCCACCUGUCUCCACAACAAAGUACUGAACUUACUGUGUAUCUGAUCUGUACAGAUACAAAUUUCAGUCACUCAGGAGGUGGUUCCUUCAAGCAACCCUGUGUACAGACCAGUUGAUAGGUACUAUUUCUAUGUUUCUAUAUGUUGAUAACUACUCUGAAUGGUGAAAAUGGACAAUCCAGUUGGCCUCUCACAAGUAUUUCCUGCUGUAGAACAGAUUCAGUCAUACACAGUCUGGUGAUACAGAAUGUAUCUCAAAUGCUAUAUCCUGCUCUGGGCUUCUCACUACAAGAAGGAUGUGGAGGUGCUGGAACCCAUUCAGAGAAGAGCAACAGAGCUGUUGAAGGGACUGGAAAGCAACUAUGAGUGGCAGCUGAGAUGGAGACAUUCAAGACCUCUGGAAGUGAAACUGUGGGAAAUAUUUUAGUGGUGGACUUGAUAGUUAGGAGGAUGGUUGGACUUGAUGAUCUAAAGGGUCUUUUCCAACCUACGUGAUUCUAGGACCCUUGCAACAGUCUCCUGACCAUCCUGUGCAAGGAAUUAAAUUCCCCAUGUGUGUAUUACCUUAUGCAAGUGACUUCAUUUAUU